rnacentral:rRNA from 1 species
GGAUCAUCAUGUCGGUCGUGCCUCCGGUACGUACUGGCAUCGUUGAUUUCUACCUUCUGACGAACUAUGAUGUCAUUAAUUUGGUGUCAUGGGGAAUCAGGACUGUUACUUUGAAAAAAUUAGAGUGUUUAAAGCAGGCACACGCUUGAAUACAUUAGCAUGGAAUAAUGAAAUAAGAUCUCGAUUUUAUUUCGUUGGUUUUAGAAAUUGAGAUA